AGAUGUGUAUACCUCCUGCAGGAAGUGCCUGAAUAUGAUCAAAUAACAAUAUUCAUUCAAACUAUUAAUAUUAACCAAAUCUUUACAUUUUCAGGGAAAAUGGCUAAUGUGUUCUGAUUGGGUUUGGUCACUUGGGCAGUACCCAGUUCCAUGUUACAUAUUUGGUACCAAUAUGUACAUUUGAGAUACUAAUAUGAAAAAUUUUAUCGCAAAGCUGUACUUUUGGAAAGUGACAGUGUGCUAUGUGGUUUUCAGUCCAAAUUCUAGUCCCUCGAUAUGGUUGAUACUAUGCUGCCCUACAAAGCCAAAGCGCUGUUACUACACUGCAAAAAAUGGACUUGGUGGGUCUUUGAAUUUAAAUAAAAUAAACAUGUAUAUGCAACACAAAAUAUUUAUAUUCCUUGUGUAAACAUAAUUUAAUUGAUUAGGAUGAAAAUGUUUUGUUUGAAUGUAAAAUGAACACAUUAUUCUCACAUUGAUUAAAAUUGAUUGAAUUGAAUACUUAAAGCAAUAAAAUUGAGUUUGCACACAAAAUGGCACCCCCUGAGCAGAAGGUGGCAGUAACGCUCAAUAAAAAGGACGUCAAUCGCCAUAAAAGAAGAAUAAACAUCGUUUGUUUUGGGCGCCAAAAUGAAGACUCAGCAGCAGUCAGUCAGAAGAACUCUCUCAGACGGACACCACGUUAUUAAAGUCCAUCAUCCUUGCAUGCGCUACACACUCAAAAGCAUUGAUAAAUGCUGAAUUUAAAAGAAUCACUACUGUCUUAUGUUCCUGCGUGUCACCUGGACCUCCAAUCCAAAAACCUGACGAAACUCUUCUAUCAGAAAGGAGGACAGCUAGCAAACAGACUUCAAACAAUGAAUGAUCAAAUGACAGAAGGCAUGGAUGAAGUCAGCAUCAGUGAGGUCAUUUGAAGACACCACUGUUGGGAUUUGUGCUCUCAAACAACAUGCUUCUUGUGAUGAAGAAGAGGAUCUUUGUAUAGUCCUGGAAGGCAUGAAGGUGUUGCAACAUCGUGCCAUGUUGUUUGAGCUGAUGUAUGCCUUAAACCUGAGCUAUCCUGAUCUCUGCUUUAUUUUUGAAGAAAUCCAAAAGAUUUAAAUGGAACUGCAUUGAGCGUAACUUUAACGAACAGUUUCUUUCAGUGAAAGGA